ACACAGCCGUCUGGAGAGCCGCCACGCCCGCCGUGGCGCACCGAAGGAGCAAGUGCCGCGCACGGUCCCGCGCGGCAUGAAUCUCUCAGGUACCAAGGACAGGGGGAGCGGC
rnacentral:ncRNA from 2 species